GCGUACGUGUCGGAUUAUUGGGCGUAAGCGCGCGCAGGCGGUUCCUUAAGUCUGAUGUGAAAGCCCCCGGCUCAACCGGGGAGGGUCAUUGGAAACUGGGGAACUUGAGUGCAGAAGAGGAGAGCGGAAUUCCACGUGUAGCGGUGAAAUGCGUAGAGAUGUGGAGGAACACCAGUGGCGAAGGCGGCUCUCUGGUCUGUAACUGACGCUGAGGCGCGAAAGCGUGGGGAGCGAACAGGAUUAGAUACCCUGGUAGUCCACGCCGUAAACGAUGAGUGCUAAGUGUUAGAGGGUUUCCGCCCUUUAGUGCUGCAGCAAACGCAUUAAGCACUCCGCCUGGGGAGUACGGCCGCAAGGCUGAAACUCAAAGGAAUUGACGGGGGCCCGCACAAGCGGUGGAGCAUGUGGUUUAAUUCGAAGCAACGCGAAGAACCUUACCAGGUCUUGACAUCCUCUGACAACCCUAGAGAUAGGGCGUUCCCCUUCGGGGGACAGAGUGACAGGUGGUGCAUGGUUGUCGUCAGCUCGUGUCGUGAGAUGUUGGGUUAAGUCCCGCAACGAGCGCAACCCUUGAUCUUAGUUGCCAGCAUUCAGUUGGGCACUCUAAGGUGACUGCCGGUGACAAACCGGAGGAAGGUGGGGAUGACGUCAAAUCAUCAUGCCCCUUAUGACCUGGGCUACACACGUGCUACAAUGGAUGGAACAAAGGGCAGCGAAGCCGCGAGGUGAAGCCAAUCCCAUAAAUCCAUUCUCAGUUCGGAUUGCAGGCUGCAACUCGCCUGCAUGAAGCCGGAAUCGCUAGUAAUCGCGGAUCACAUGCCGCGCGGUGUAAUAUACGUUCCCGGGCCUUGUACACACCGCCCGUCACACCACGAGAGUUUGUAACACCCGAAGUCGGUGGGGUAACCUUUUGGAGCCAGCCGCCUAAGUGGGACAGAUGAUUGGGGUGAUGUAAAAAAAUAAUGUAACGCUUUCGUUUUUUUGGCCGGGAGAGAGCGGGGUAUUCCCCAGUGUUUUGUGCCUCUGCGGCGGAGGUUUGUGGUCGUCGCGCGCGUCUUUUCACCCGCGAGGGUGUGUCUCGACAAUAUUUUUUUUGUGGAAAAUAGUGACGCGCCGGCGCGCCGAUGAAUGGUGGUAGGGGCUCCGGCUCACUGCGAGCAGAGUACAUGCCGCUGAUUCGCGGCUGGCGGCUCGCGUCGCUGCUGAGUUACGAAUGACUGACCAUACUCACACGAUAAUGAUAGGUCGUCGUAACUGAGUCUGCUACUGUCGAUCGCUGCAUGCUACGUGCAUAGCAGUACAUGCGAUGCAUUCUAUCCU
rnacentral:rRNA from 1 species